rnacentral:rRNA from 1 species
CAGUAGCCGCGGUAAUACGAAGGGUGCAAGCGUUAAUCGGAAUUACUGGGCGUAAAGCGUGCGUAGGCGGUGAGUUAAGUCUGCUGUGAAAUCCCCGGGCUCAACCUGGGAAUGGCAGUGGAUACUGGCUCGCUAGAGUGUGUCAGAGGAUGGUGGAAUUCCCGGUGUAGCGGUGAAAUGCGUAGAGAUCGGGAGGAACAUCAGUGGCGAAGGCGGCCAUCUGGGACAACACUGACGCUGAGGCACAAAAGCGUGGGGAGCAAACAGGAUUAGAGACCCCUGUAGUCCCUGUCUCUUAUAC